AGUUCCUCAUCUGGACUCACUGGGAGAAGUGAUUCACUAGAAUUCUCAUUGGAAGAAAUGACAGGAAAGCUCCCUCCAAUAUCUCAAUUUCCACCCCACUCAGUACCUGGUUUUAUGAUUCCACACCCUCCUAAUCCAUCCUGCCCUCCUAACACAUCCCACUCUCGUAAGCCAUCCCACUCUCGUGCCCGCGAAUCCCUCCCUCUUCUUCCAUCUGCCAAGCCCCUUCCUCCUCUCCAGAAGUACGUGGAUUUUUCAGUUUUCUGCCCUAACUGUUAUCCCACUGUGGCUCAUACCUGCCCUCCCCACUACCCUACCCUAAUACUCUACCUGCACUGCUCUUCUGCUAUUCAUUACAAACCAUCCAUUUGUCAAUGCUCUAGUCCCAGAACUCUUUCUGGUAACUCCCUUAUCGAUCACCCUAGCCCUCCUUCUAGCCCUACUGGUCAACGCUUGGGUCCCAGAACUCUUCCCUGUGAUUCCCUUAUCCGUUCUCCUGUUCCUCCUCCUAGCCCUCCUUGCCAACGCUCUGGUCCCAGAACUCUUUUCUGUGACUACCCUGUCUGUCCCCCUACUCCUCCUCCCAGCCCUACUUGCAAAUGCUGUCGUCCCAGAGCUGUUUCCUGGGACUCCUCUACCUAUGCCUCUACCCCUCCUCCUUAGCCCUACUUCUUUCUAGUACCCUGUACUCUAGUCCCCAGCCCCCAGCCCUGCCAUCCCCAACCAGACCUUAUGGUUCACAAGUCUCAUCUUGGAGAUGGUUUCCCUGCUCCCGGGGCAGUUCUGGAACAGUUCAGGAUGGCCAGGACUGUGGAUUCCCAGCAGUCUGACCUCGUGGACAAAGGAAAUGCAAGACGAUGGCAAACCAGCAUUCAGCCUCAUCUGCUCCUUUCCUCCCCUGCCUCAUCAGCCAGCCUGCAUGAGCCUCUACAUUUGUUCCUGGCUUCUCCAUGGAACUCGGUCUACAGCCACAAAGCAAACCACAGGGCCAGUGACAGAGAAGGCAGAGGGGAGUGUGGAGUGGGAAGCACCUAACCUGUUCUCAAGGAGGGGAAUGAUUGGCCAAGAUGAGUUUCAAUCGUAUGUCCACUACCUCCUGGCCUGCCACUUGGCUGUGAGUCCUUUCUGGGCGGUGUCCAGGGGCGGUUCCAGUGAUCAGGCAGGUGCUGAGAAGCACAGGCAGCAGGAUGAGGGGAUACUUGCCAGGAGACAGCAUGGGAUGCCAUUGCCUAGAGUUGGCAGAAGGACCAGGAGCAGGCAGGCAGCGAGAGAACACCCAGAGUGCUCCUGAUCGGACCAAGCUGCAUGGAGGCCACAAUGGGACACCUGAGGGAAAAGGUGACCCCAGAUGAGGUCCAUCGGAACCAGAUAUUGUGGGAACUGUCAAACCAGACCAAGAAGUAUGGAGGCCACAGAGGGACACCCCAGGGAGGUGACCCUGGAUGAGGUUCAUCAGAACUAGAUCUUGUGAGAACUACCUGACCAGACCAAGCAGCACAGAGGCCACGGUGAGACACCUGAGGGAGAAGGCGAACCCAGAUAAGGCUCAUCGGGUUCCGAUCUUGUGAGAACUGCAGAAGGCGACCACAGAUGAGGCUCAUCAGAACUAGAUCUUGUGAGAACUGCCUGAGCAGACCAAGCAGCACAGAGGCCACAGUGAGACACAUGAGGGAGAAGGUGAACCCAGAUGAGGCUCAUCAGGAACAGAUCUUGUGGGAACCAGAGAGGACAACCCCGGAUGAGGUCCAUCAGAACCAGAUCUUGUGGGAACUGCACUUCAAAGUGCUACAGACCCACAAACACUACAUGCAGCAUCACAUGAAUGCCCUCUGCAAGGGUGAGGGGCCUGGCAGGAUGGAGGAAAUACCAGAGAGGGGGGAUGCGCCCUGAAAAAAAGGAGAGCCCUGGGGACUGCGGAAGGUGGAGUGUGCGUCUCAUUAAAGGAGAAGAUACCUUCUCACACCCUACCUCCUUUUAUAGACUUUAGGAGCAAUGUCUUUGGAGGGGGCCUCACCUACAUCACAUCAGAUGCAUUAAAUAUAUUAAAAAGCAUUCACAUCUCA
rnacentral:lncRNA from 1 species